ensembl:lncRNA
GUUACAGAAUACUGCCACACCAUCUGGAAGCAGCAGAAGAAAAGGACAUCUCCCAGACGGUCGACGAACAGGGACACCUACCCUGCCAACACCAUGAUCAGCUGGUGCAACUGGGUGCGGCUAUUGAUGAGGUCCUCUUCGUCCUCCACCACCUCGACACCACCCGAGAGGAUUCACCUCCAACUAGUGGAGGGCCUCCUACCACGAGUCAUCCCAGCAUACCCAGCAAUCUGUCCAAGUCAGCGAUGCUAGUAUGAUGGGACUCUAUCCAAAUACAGUGGCUUCCUACUCCAGUGCUCCCUCUAUUUCACCCAUCAGAUGGGAGCCCCUACCACUGAGGUCCAAGAUUGUCGCGGUCAUUUCCCUUGCUGACUGGGUGGGCGUUGGAGUGGGCUACAGCCGUCUGGGAGACAGGAGCGGAAGAGCUGGAUUCCCACGAAGUUCAUAGCUCUGUUCAGGGCGUUCUUCGACCAUCCAUUGGAGGGCAGAGAGGAAGGUGAGCGACUAAUUGUACUCCGGCAGGGUGCCCAGACUGCUGCGGAAUAUGCUCUCACCUUCCAUGGCAGCCUCCAGCGGAUGGAAUGAGCUGGUGCUCCGCACCAUAUUCCAAAGUGGACUCAGCAAGGAGGUCCAGAUGGAGUUGGCAUGUCAGGAUGACAACCUUUCGUUGGAUGUGCUCAUCGCGAUGGCCAUCUGUCUGGACAUCCCCUCGCCCUCCUCCUUUGGCCGUCCUGAGGCAUAGCCUGAACCCAUGGAGGUAGGGGCCACACACCUCUCCGCGGCAGAGCGGCGUCGCAGGAGACAGCUGGGGCUAUGUUCCUAUUGCGGCCAGAAUGGGCACCAGCUUCAGCGGUGUCCGGUACCUCCCAACCCACGGUCCACAGGGAGAGAUGGGCGGUCCCGUGAUCAUCCGUCUCCUGGGAGAGGAACUUUGACUUCGGCGAUCGGGAGCUCCAGGCAGUGAAGUUGGCAUCAGAGGAGUGGAAACACUAGCUGGAGGUGACCAAAGACCCAUUUCUUAUCCUCACCGACCAUCGGAACCUGGAGUACAUACGGACAGCUAGGCGGCUUAACCCAUGCCAAGCAAGGUGGGCCCUUUUCUUCACUAGAUUCAACUUCACCCUGUCAUAUCUGCUAUGUUCAAAGGCCAUCAAAGCCGAUUCUCUGUCCCGUCUCUACGAUUCGGGAGAGGAUCCUGUCCUGAGUGCGCCCAUCAUUCCGCCCUCCCGAGACGUUGCCCCCGUGCUUUGGGACACAGACGUGGACAUCCACCAGGCUCUGGAGAGGGAACCUGUGCCUACUACCAGUCCUCCAGAGCGCACCUGCGUCCCCACAGAGCAGGUCUUCCGGGUACUAUGACCUUCUGGAGGACAUCGUCUCCGACCGUGGCCCCCAAUUCACGUUGUGGGUAUGGAGAGCCUUCGUGAAGAAGUUUGGGGCCACGGCCAGCCUCACAUACAGACUGGUGGUUCCUGGUCCCCUGGCUGGUGUCGUCCCCUGUGACACCCCUCCACCUCCCAUGGACAUCGAUGGGACCAGGACGGUCCGGACGGGACCCAACAGCACUCCUCUGGGCCGC